UCACUGCCCCCAAUAAAGAUGGUGACGGUCACACGGGCCGAUCGCCAUCUGAGGCGUUGAUUUGUUUUCUGCAAACGUGAGUCUGGGAGUUUCAAAUGGGUGUGUUUUCCGACGUGCACUAACUGUUUGUAAAACUUCCCUCCAGCUUUCUACCGUUUUGCUUUCUUUACUGUGGCCUGCUCUUACCUCAAUUGCACAAAUCUUGGUCUCAGCGAAGGAUCUAGGCCCGAAACGUCAGCUUUCCUGCUGUGUACAUCCAGCUGCACACCGUGUUAUCUCGGAUUCUCCAGCAUCUGCAGUUCCGGUUAUCUCAGCGACUCUGCACCGCACUCGUGGAUGAUCACGUGGUUUUCACUGAUCCCGCCCUCCCUUCAUUCCGAUUGGGCGACAUCCGUCCGGUCAUGCAGGGCACACCUGUGCUCCUAUUGGUCGCGCACUGACAUCAAUCAGCCGGACUUCACUGUGAGCUGGAGCAUGCGCAGUGCUUUGUGUUAUUGUUGGAAGCAAAUGAACGUCGUCGCAAUGUUGCAUUUUGAGACGAAUGAGACUGAAAACUGGAUCUGUCUUUUUACCUUCACAGAUGCUGCCAGACCUGCUGAGCUUUUCCAGCAACUUUGUUUUUGUUCCUGAUUGACAACAUCCCAGUUCUUUUGUUAUUUUUUAAUAAGUCGCGAUUGAAAAGGCUUCCGGCAGCUCAAAGCUAAAGGUACUCUUGAUACCGCUCUGUCAGCCAAUAGAGAAAUAGCGAUGAAAUAAGGGUAAUAAAUACAGGUCUAGCAGUCCUCAGGUAAGAUGUAAAGGGAAUAAUUAUGAAUAUGAAGAACAUCACGUGGUGAAGUGAGGUGAGUGUUGUUCAUAUGAACUGUGAUUGGACAGAGAGGGAGGUUAAUCAAAAAAGAACAAGCAGAAAAGAGACUCUCAAGAAAGGUCUGUGCAAUGGAAAGCAACGAGAAUCAGAAGAUAAAAGCCCAACACAAGAAAAAGUUUGAAGACCGCGGCUGCAGAAACUCCAAUAAGUUGUUUCACUGCUCUACUGCCUAGUUAUUGACUUAAGCAGUAUAAUCCACAUUCAACUACCAGAAAUAUGUGUGAAUUUCCACAUUGCUGUUUGUCCUUCCACUUGAGGAGGAGCAUUUGGAAUGGCAGGAAGCAGCUGACAUCAGUGAUGUUUGGCUGGAAGUACAAGGUGAAGCAGGAAAACUGCAGUAUGUUUCAGCAAUGCUUUUAAAACAAAAAUCGUAUCAUCUGAUUAAAUCAACGUGGUCAAUCCAGAAGAAGACAUUCCAUGAUGGAGACAGGGCAGUUGCAGGUAAGUUCAAGGUCACCCUGGGGCCAGGCAUGUUUGACAAUUUCAUUCCUUUUUCAGAGUCAAACAAGUGAGGUCGCAAAGAGGAAACCAACAGCUGCAUAACACCUGGAUCCCCAAGAGGCAUUUUGUAGGGUGUCACACUGGUGGCUAAUAGAUAAGAUAAGGGCUCUGGAACUGAAGGUAAUGUAUGAGCAUGAAUAGAGAGUUGGUGAACAUGCAGGACAUAACACUAAGUGUUGUUGUGACUGUGAU